ACACAAAGCAAACACUAUUGGCUUCAUUAUGUUUGUUUAAUAAGACAGACACAGUGUGUUGGGAAUAGACAUAUACAAAUUCACAAGCCACAAAGGAUUUCUCUUUCAAUGUCUUGAGCUGUCUCCUUAACCUCCUAUUUUUUACUCUUCUUUCUCUCUUCCUACAACACCUAAUUCCUCAUAGACUUAUAGUACUGCUACUACAACACAUGAAAGACUUCUUUUUCCACUUCUGAUUUUUAAGGAUAGGACAAGUUUGCUCAUCAAACUCCAUCUUUUUUUCUUUCUAAAAACAUCAUAAAGGGUGUGAAGAAAACAAACAAACAAAGAAAAUUUCACUAAAAGGGUGUUGUGGAAUGAUAAAGGUUUCUUCAUUCUUGAUAAGAAGUCUUGAAAUGAAGUAAAGAUCUCUUCAUUCUUGAUGAGAAGUCUCGAAUUCAAAUCUUGAAAUGAAAGCUUUUGUUUUGGUAGGGAGUAGUAAAAAAUUCAUGAAAUAAUGCGGUGGGAUGAUAAAGAUUUCUUCUUUCGUGACAAGAAGUCUCGAGUUCAAAUCAUGAAAUGAAGUUUUCUUUGGACUUAUUUUGGUGCUGGAAAAAAGGAGUGGAAAAUUGUCAAACACCUGGUGUGCAAUGAAGGUUCUUGUUGAUUUUGGUUUUGUAAAUUUCAAGAAAAUGUCAGAAAUGGAAAUGCAGAUAGCAAUUUUGUGGAUUUCAAAGUUCGAUUUUUUCUGCUUGAAAUGGAUUUUUCCGGCUGUUUUUUCAUCUGUUCUUGAUUUUCCGGUGGUUUGACGGCGGUUAACGGUGGUGGUUCGCGGCGGUGAACGGUGGUGAUAUUGGCGGGGACGGCUCAAUCUUUUCUCUGAAAAUGGACCCUCCGCAAUGACCCAGGGAGCAGUAUGUGUAGCCUCGACAUGAUCCAUGACAUAUUUAUAGCAUAUAGGGACAACUCAAGGACCUUCCGCAAUGGUCCGGGGGAGAGCGGUAUGUGUAACCUUGGUAUAAUCUACGGCAUAUUUAUAGCAUUUAGGGACCACUC